GUUGAAGUGGCUGAUUUAAGGCGAUAGAUUGUAAAUCUAUUUAUAGGAUUAUUUCCUCUUCAUCA
rnacentral:tRNA from 1 species